AUUGAACGCUGGCGGCAUGCCUUACACAUGCAAGUCGAACGGCAGCACGGGUGCUUGCACCUGGUGGCGAGUGGCGAACGGGUGAGUAAUACAUCGGAACAUGUCCUGUAGUGGGGGAUAGCCCGGCGAAAGCCGGAUUAAUACCGCAUACGAUCUACGGAUGAAAGCGGGGGCCUUCGGGGCCCGGGGCUUAGGGUUGGGCGAUGGCUGAUUAGCUAGUUGGUGGGGUAAAGGCCUACCAAGGCGACGAUCAGUAGCUGGUCUGAGAGGACGACCAGCCACACUGGGACUGAGACACGGCCCAGACUCCUACGGGAGGCAGCAGUGGGGAAUUUUGGACAAUGGGCGAAAGCCUGAUCCAGCAAUGCCGCGUGUGUGAAGAAGGCCUUCGGGUUGUAAAGCACUUUUGUCCGGAAAGAAAUCCUUGGCCCUAAUACGGUCGGGGGAUGACGGUACCGGAAGAAUAAGCACCGGCUAACUACGUG
rnacentral:rRNA from 1 species